UAGGGAAUCUUCCACAAUGGACGAAAGUCUGAUGGAGCAACGCCGCGUGAGUGAAGAAGGUUUUCGGAUCGUAAAGCUCUGUUGUUGGUGAAGAAGGGUAGAGGCAGUAACUGGUCUUUAUUUGACGGUAAUCAACCAGAAAGUCACGGCUAACUACGUGCCAGCAGCCGCGGUAAUACGUAGGUGGCAAGCGUUGUCCGGAUUUAUUGGGCGUAAAGCGAGCGCAGGCGGAAUGAUAAGUCUGAUGUGAAAGCCCACGGCUCAACCGUGGAACUGCAUCGGAAACUGUCAUUCUUGAGUGCAGAAGAGGAGAGUGGAACUCCAUGUGUAGCGGUGGAAUGCGUAGAUAUAUGGAAGAACACCAGUGGCGAAGGCGGCUCUCUGGUCUGCAACUGACGCUGAGGCUCGAAAGCAUGGGUAGCGAACAGGAUUAGGAUACCCUGGUAGUCCAUGCCGUAAACGAUGAGCGCUAGGUGUUGGGGACUUUCCGGUGCCUCAGUGCCGCAGCAAACGCAUUAA
rnacentral:rRNA from 1 species